rnacentral:rRNA from 1 species
GACGAACGCUGGCGGCGUGCUUAACACAUGCAAGUCGAGCGAUGAAGUUCCUUCGGGAAUGGAUUAGCGGCGGACGGGUGAGUAACACGUGGGUAACCUGCCUCAUAGAGGGGAAUAGCCUUUCGAAAGGAAGAUUAAUGCCGCAUAAGAUUGUAGUAUCGCAUGAUACAGCAAUUAAAGGAGUAAUCCGCUAUGAGAUGGACCCGCGUCGCAUUAGCUAGUUGGUGAGGUAACGGCUCACCAAGGCGACGAUGCGUAGCCGACCUGAGAGGGUGAUCGGCCACAUUGGGACUGAGACACGGCCCAGACUGCUACGGGAGGCAGCAGUGGGGGAUAGUGCACAAUGGGGAAACCCUGAUGCAGCAACGCCGCGUGAGUGAUGACGGUCUUCGGAUUGUAAAACUCUGUCUUCAGGGACGAUAAUGGCGGUACCUGAGGAGGAAGCCACGGCUAACUACGUGCCAGCCGCCGCGGUAA